rnacentral:piRNA from 1 species
UGUAUAGAAGUCCGGAUGAUC